rnacentral:rRNA from 1 species
AUUGAACGCUGGCGGCAUGCCUUACACAUGCAAGUCGAACGGCAGCACGGGAGCAAUCCUGGUGGCGAGUGGCGAACGGGUGAGUAAUAUAUCGGAACGUGCCCGGUCGUGGGGGAUAACGUAGCGAAAGCUACGCUAAUACCGCAUACGAUCUACGGAUGAAAGCGGGGGAUCGCAAGACCUCGCGCGAUUGGAGCGGCCGAUAUCAGAUUAGGUAGUUGGUGAGGUAAAGGCUCACCAAGCCGACGAUCUGUAGCUGGUCUGAGAGGACGACCAGCCACACUGGAACUGAGACACGGUCCAGACUCCUACGGGAGGCAGCAGUGGGGAAUUUUGGACAAUGGACGCAAGUCUGAUCCAGCCAUUCCGCGUGCAGGAUGAAGGCCCUCGGGUUGUAAACUGCUUUUGUACGGAACGAAAAGGUUUCUAUUAAUACUAGGAGCUCAUGACGGUACCGUAAGAAUAAGCACCGGCUAACUACGUGCCAGCACG